UACAGGGGGUGCAAACGUUGCUCGGAAUCAUUGGGCGUAAAGCGCACGUAGGCGGUUUGUUAUGUCGGAUGUGAAAGCCCUUGGCUCAACUGAGGAAGUGCAUCCGAAACUGGCAGCUAGAGUACUAAAGAGGAUCGCGGAAUUCCCGGUGUAGAGGUGAAAAUUCGUAGAUAUCGGGAGGAACACCGGUGGCGAAGGCGGAUCUCGUGGCCUACUGACGCUCGGCACGAAGCAAGGGAGC
rnacentral:rRNA from 1 species